rnacentral:rRNA from 1 species
AUUGAACGCUGGCGGCAUGCCUAACACAUGCAAGUCGAGCGGCAGCACAGUGUGUAGCAAUACACAUGGGUGGCGAGCGGCGGACGGGUGAGCAAUACAUAGGAAUCUGCCCUAGAGUGGGGGAUAGCCCGGGGAAACCCGGAUUAAUACCGCAUGAUCUCUACGGAGCAAAGCGGGGACCGUAAGGCCUCGCGCUCUGGGAUGAGCCUAUGUCCGAUUAGCUAGUUGGCGGGGUAAAGGCCCACCAAGGCGACGAUCGGUAGCUGGUCUGAGAGGACGACCAGCCACACCGGAACUGAGACACGGUCCGGACUCCUACGGGAGGCAGCAGUGGGGAAUUUUGGACAAUGGGGAAACCCUGAUCCAGCGAUGCCGCGUGUGUGAAGAAGGCCUCGGGUUGUAAAGCACUUUAAGCAGGGAAGAACCAGCCUGACCUAACACGUCCGGCCCUGACGGUACCUGCAGAAUAAGCACCGGCUAACUCUGUGCCAGCAGCCGCGGUAAUACAGAGGGUGCAAGCGUUAAUCGGAUUACUGGGCGUAAAGCGUGCGUAGGUGGUUCAGUAUGUCGGUCGUGAAAUCCCGGGCUUAACCUGGGAACUGCGGCCGAAACUGCUGGGCUAGAGUGUGGUAGAGGGAGGUGGAAUUCCGGGCUGUAGCGGUGAAAUGCGUAGAUAUCCGGAGGAACACCGAUGGCGAAGGCAGCCUCCUGGCCCACAACUGACACUGAGGUACGAAAGCGUGGGGGAGCAAACAGGAUUAGAUA